AGUAAUAUGACUAAUAUCUCCUCCUUCUCCUCUCCAAUUUGACAGCGACCGGAAAUGGUGACGUCAUCUGUCAUGAGACCUGCGGCGGAGCUCGCGGUCAGGAUCGGCCGUGAGCUCCUCAAAGUCUCCGCAACCUCUCGCUCACCUCGGACAUGGAGUCCAUCGAUGGAACAAACUCUUCACAGUCUCGGCUUUCGUCACUCAAUAAGCCCUUCGCUCGUCUCUCGAGUCAUCGACCCGUUCCUCCUCAACCACCACUCCUUAGCACUCGGGUUCUUCAACUGGGCCGCCCAGCAGCCCGGUUACUCCCACGACUCCAUCUCUUACCACUCCAUCUUCAAAACCCUCUCGCUCUCUCGACAGUUCUCCGCCAUGGACGCCCUCUUCAAACAGGUCAAAACUCAGAGAAUCCUCCUCGAUCCCUCCGUGUAUCGCUCCCUCAUCGACGCGCUUCUGUUGGGUAAGAAAGCUCAGAGCGCGUUUUGGGUUUUGGAAGAAGCUCUUUCGACGGGUCGGGAGGUUCAUCACGAUGUGUGCAACCGUCUCUUGGCUGCGUUAACGUCUGAUGGAUAUUCUGAUUAUGCUCAGAAACUGUUCGUUAAAAUGCGUGAGAGAGGUGUUUCUCUCAAUACACUUGGCUUUGGUGUUUAUAUAGGAAGCUUCUGUAAGAGUUUCGAUACGGAUCAGCAAUUGAGACUUGUGGGUGAGGUUAAAAAGAGUAACUUUAACAUCAAUGGGUCCAUUAUUGCGCUCUUGAUUCUUCAUGGUCUUUGUAAAUGUUCGAGAGAGAUGGAUGCUUUUUACAUUUUGGAAGACCUAAGAAACAUUGAUUGCAAACCGGAUUUUAUGGCGUAUAGAAUCAUAGCUGAAGCGUUUGUAGCGACUGGGAAUCUGUACGAGAGACAGGUUGUUUUAAAGAAGAAGAGAAAGCUUGGAGUAGCACCUAGGAGCAGUGAUUACAGAGAUUUUAUCUUGGAUUUGAUCUCUGCUAAACGUUUGGUUGAGGCUAAGGAAGUGGGUGAGGUGAUUGUGAGUGGAAACUUCCCCAUUGAUAGUGAUGUCCUAGACGCGUUGAUUGGAUCAGUCUCUGCGGUUGAUCCAGAUUCUGCUGUUGGAUUCUUGAAUUACAUGGUGGUAAACACAGGGAAACUGCCUGCGAUUCGGACUCUGAGCAAAUUGAGUAAGAAUCUUUGCAGGCACGAGAAGGGGGACCUUUUGGUAAAGGCUUAUGAGGUUUUGUCAAGCAGAGCUUAUUUUUCAGAGCCUGAGAGUUACAGUCUGAUGAUAUCGUUCUUGUGCAAGGCCGGGAGAGUCAGAGAAGGGUACAGUGCUCUGCACGAGAUGAAGAAGAAAGGACUUGAUCCAGACGUUUCACUCUAUAACGCUCUCAUCGAAGCUUGUUGCAAAGCGGAAAUGAUCCGGCCAGCAAAGAAGCUGUGGGAUGAGAUGUUCGUAGAGGGAUGCAGAAUGAAUCUGACGACUUAUAAUGUACUUAUCAAGAAAUUGUCGGAGGAAGGCGAGGUAGAUGAGUCUUUGAGGCUGUUUCGGAAGAUGCUUGAGAAAGGGAUAGAACCAGAUGAAACAAUUUAUACGUCUCUCAUCGAAGGCCUAUGCAAGGAUACAAAACUUGAGGAUGCUUUGGAAGUCUUCAGAAAGUGUAUGGAGAGGGAUCAAAUAGUUGCGAGAAGGGUAUUGAUCACGUUUGUUUUAAAUCUAUGCAGCAACGGCCAUUUUGGUGAGGCGUCUCAGCUGCUGCGCGAGAGAGAACAUUUGGAACACACAAGUGCACAUGUAGUGUUGUUGAAAUGUGUGGCUGAUGCGAAAGAGGUUGAGGUUGGAAUCAAACAUAUGAAAUGGAUCAAAGAGGUGUCUCCAUCUCUUGUUCACACCAUUUGUUCGGACCUUUCGGCGUCUUUCUGUUCAUCAUCUGAUCCUGAUUCCAUUCUUCCGUUUAUUCGAGCACUUGAGCUCUCAUAGCUACACCGAUAGGCAAAUUUAUUAUGUGUAGACCAGAUCCUAUACCCUAGACUGUAAUGGAGUUGUCUGGGUAUACAUUACAAGUCUAUGUUGAAGGCUUGAAGUACCGAAGAGAAGCAAAUCUGUGAAGCUAUUGGAUCAGGUAUCAUCUCAUCUUUGACGCAACGGUCGGGUCAAAUCACAGCUUUUUUUUUUGGCGGGUGUCCGUACUAUGGAAUGUGGACCACUAAGGCAGUUAUUUACCUGAUUUAAACAAAAAAAAGGCAGUAAUUUACCUGCAGUUAACAGUUAUUACGGUUGAGAUUUGGGUAGUGAAAAGACCUUGCUCUUGUCUUAAUUUGGCCAUUAUUUGCAAUUCAACAUUGAGAGCUGUAAAACCA